CUCUGAACGGUCGCUGUCUGUUUUCCGCUCUUCAGGUGUCUCUUUCGGAUUCCUCGCCGGGGCAGGAGGGGUUGCUGUCAUGUCGAUAUAAUGACAGAUGGUCCACACAAAGCCGGUGCGCAUUGUUCAGCUGAAAAAUAAUAGCCACCAUUUAUCAGUGUUCGCCGACUUUCAGGGCCCAGCAGGAACAGGAGACUGUCUCGCAGGAUUUCAGUGUCCCGUCGAGGCGGACUGAUGCGGUUUCUUCCUGCUUUUGCUCUGCUCUUGAUUACGUCUGUUUGAGGGGCGGCAGGGAGGGGAUCCGGUGCACAGGGAUCACUGGGAGGACGGGGAUUGGCUCCAAGGAGAUAGCUUGAUAAAAACGCACGGCUGCCAUUGGACGAGAGCGCUUCUGGGAGGAGGAGGUGGAUGAGGAAGAGGAGGAGGAGGAGGAGAGGGGUCUGUCGUGUAUUAUUCAGGAGAAACCGGGUGGGGAGUAGAAGAGGAGGAGGAUACUCAGGGCAAAGCGGCAUAUGCAGACAAUGCCCUGUGUCUCCAAAAAUUCAGAUUUCAUUGGUGGACUUAUCCUCCCUGCAGUUUGUAUGGCUUCCGAUAAUCUCUUCAUAUGGACUCACAGUCAAAUUGGAGCACUUAUCCAAGUCUGUGGUUAUUAGUUUCUAAUGACCUCACUGCACUUAAAACAGGCUCUGGGAUCUGUGUAAUAACUCCAUAAAUGCAGUUUCCUAUAGGAAAAAUUAUGUAGCAUGGAGAAAAAUCCCAAAACUGACACAGCUGCAGCGUGCCUUUCUUUAUAGUCCUAUUUUAAGAUUAAUUUGAUGAAAAGACUGUGCCGGGCUAUUCAGAUGGAAGGGAGCGACUAUAAAUAAAUCAAACAACUGUUAUUUUGCAACAUCAAACCUCAA